UACGUAGGGCGCAAGCGUUGUCCGGAAUUAUUGGGCGUAAAGAGCUCGUAGGCGGUUUGUCGCGUCUGCUGUGAAAACCUCAGGCUCAACCUGGGGCUUGCAGUGGGUACGGGCAGACUAGAGUGCGGUAGGGGGUGACUGGAAUUCCUGGUGUAGCGGUGGAAUGCGCAGAUAUCAGGAGGAACACCGAUGGCGAAGGCAGGUCACUGGGCCGCAACUGACGCUGAGGAGCGAAAGCAUGGGGGAGCGAACAGG
rnacentral:rRNA from 1 species